ACUCAAAUGAAUUGACGGGGACUUGCACAAGCGGUGGAACAUGUGGUUUAAUUCGACGCUAAACGAAGAACCUUACCAGGGUUAGAAAUCCAGACGAAUACCAGCAGAAACGUUGGUAGCCGAAAGGCGGCUGGACAGGUGCUGCAUGGCUGUCGUCAGUUCGUGGUUUGAACUGUUCCCUUCAGUGGGGUAACGAACGCAACCCCUGUUGCCUGUUAUAAGUGUCAGGCGAGACCGCCCAGCCCUUUGAAUUUUUCUGUGAAAAAUUUAAAGGGCUGGGAGGAAGGUGGGGAUGACGCCAAGUCAGCAUGGCCCUUUGACACCCUGGGCUACACACGUGUUACAAUCGCAUCUACAACGGGACGCAAUAUCGUAAGAUGGAGCAAACCCUUAUAAAAGAUGCGCCAGUUCGGAUUGAGGUCUGCAACUCGACCUCAUGAAGCCGGAAUCGCUAGUAAUCGCAGGUCAGCUAUACUGCGGUGAAUACGUUCUCAAGUCUUGUACACACCGCCCGU
rnacentral:rRNA from 1 species